UUGCUUUAGCAACACAUAUACUAAAAUUGGAAUGAUACAGAGAUUAGCAAGGCACCUGCACAAGGAACACUUCAUGAAGCACUGCAUACAAGG
rnacentral:snRNA from 1 species